rnacentral:rRNA from 1 species
UACAUGGGGUGCAAACGUUGCUCGGAAUUAUUGGGCGUAAAGCGCGCGUAGGCGGUUACUUAAGUCGGAUGUGAAAGCCCUCGGCUUAACUGAGGAAGUGCACCCGAAACUGAGUAGCUAGAGUACGAAAGAGGGUCGCGGAAUUCCCGGUGUAGAGGUGAAAUGCGUAGAGAUCGGGAGGAAGGCCGGUGGCGAAGGCGGCGCUCUGGAACAUUUCUGACGCUGAGGCUCGAAAGCGUGGGGAGCAAACAGG